AAGCGGUGGAGCAUGUGGUUAAUUCGAAGCGAACGCGAAGAACCUUACCUGGCCUUGACAUGCUGAGAACUUUCCAGAGAUGGAUUGGUGCCUUCGGGAACUCAGACACAGGUGCUGCAUGGCUAUCGUCAGCUCGUGUCGUGAGAUGUUGGGUUAAGUCCCGUAACGAGCGCAACCCUUGUCCUUAGUUACCAGCACGUAAUGGUGGGAACUCUAAGGAGACUGCCGGUGACAAACCGGAGGAAGGUGGGGAUGACGUCAAGUCAUCAUGGCCCUUACGGCCAGGGCUACACACGUGCUACAAUGGUCGGUACAAAGGGUUGCCAAGCCGCGAGGUGGAGCUAAUCCCAUAAAACCGAUCGUAGUCCGGAUCGCAGUCUGCAACUCGACUGCGUGAAGUCGGAAUCGCUAGUAAUCGCAGGUCAGCAUACUGCGGUGAAUACGUUCCCGGGUCUU
rnacentral:rRNA from 1 species